rnacentral:rRNA from 1 species
UGGGGAAUUUUGGACAAUGGGCGCAAGCCUGAUCCAGCCAUGCCGCGUGCGGGAAGAAGGCCUUCGGGUUGUAAACCGCUUUUGUCGGGGAAGAAAUCUCUCGGGCUAAUACCUCGGGGGGAUGACGGUACCCGAAGAAUAAGCACCGGCUAACUACGUGCCAGCAGCCGCGGUAAUACGUAGGGUGCGAGUGUUAAUCGGAAUUACUGGGCGUAAAGCGUGCGCAGGCGGUCGUGCAAGACAGAUGUGAAAUCCCCGGGCUCAACCUGGGAACUGCAUUUGUGACUGCACGGCUGGAGUACGGCAGAGGGGGAUGGAAUUCCGCGUGUAGCAGUGAAAUGCGUAGAUAUGCGGAGGAACACCGAUGGCGAAGGCAGUCCCCUGGGCCUGCACUGACGCUCAUGCACGAAAGCGUGGGGAGCAAACA